rnacentral:rRNA from 1 species
UACGUAGGGCGCGAGCGUUGUCCGGAAUUUAUUGGGCGUAAAGAGCUCGUAGGCGGCCUGUUGCGUCUGCUGUGAAAUCCCGGGGCUUAACCCCGGGCGUGCAGUGGAUACGGGCAGGCUGGAGGCAGGCAGGGGAGAACGGAAUUCCCGGUGUAGCGGUGAAAUGCGCAGAUAUCGGGAGGAACACCGGUGGCGAAGGCGGUUCUCUGGGCCUGUACUGACGCUGAGGAGCGAAAAGCGUGGGGGAGCGA